rnacentral:rRNA from 1 species
CAAGUCAUCAUGGCCCUUACGAGUAGGGCUACACACGUGCUACAAUGGUGCAUACAGAGGGAGGCGAAGUAGCGAUACGGAGCGAAACUCAGAAAGUGCAUCGUAGUCCGGAUUGGAGUCUGCAACUCGACUCCAUGAAGUCGGAAUCGCUAGUAAUCGCGAAUCAGAAUGUCGCGGUGAAUACGUUCCCGGGCCUUGUACACACCGCCCGUCACACCAUGGGAGUGGGUUGUACCAGAAGUAGAUAGCUUAACCUUWRGGAGGGCGUUUACCACGGUAUGAUUCAUGACUGGGGUGAAGUCGUAACAAGGUAACCGUAGGGGAACCUGCGGUUGGAUCACCUCCUUAC